CUAAAAUACUUUUGCAUUCUUGCCUCAAGUGUGGCAUGCAACAUUUUGGAAAGAAAAUUGAGGACUUAUUCAAGAAAACAUGAACAGAAGCAAAUGAUGAAAUGAGUAUUUUAUUUAAUAUUGAUAACAUCGCAAUACAUUAUGGA